rnacentral:rRNA from 1 species
GACGAACGCUGGCGGCGUGCCUAAUACAUGCAAGUCGAACGCAGUGGGGACGGGUGAGUAACACGUGGGUAACCUCCCAUCAGAGGGGAUAACACUUGGCAACAGGUGCUAAACCGAUACUGAUGGAUGAACCCGCGGAGCAUUAGCUAGUUGGUGAGGUAACGGCGCACCAAGGCCACGAUGCCUAGCCGACCUGAGAGGAUGAUCGGCCACACUGGGACUGAGACACGGCCCAGACUCCUACGUGAGGCAGCAGUGGGGAAGCUUGUGCAAUGGGCGAAAGUCUGACCGAGCCAUGCCGCGUGAGUGAAGAAGGUUUUCGGAUCGUAAAACGCUGUUGUUAGAGAAGCGGUAUCUACCCAGGAAGCAACGGCUAACUACGUGCCAGCAGCCGCGGUAAUUC